AGUCGAGCGACAGAUAAGGAGCUUGCUCCUUUGACGUUAGCGGCGGACGGGUGAGUAACACGUGGGUAACCUACCUAUAAGACUGGGAUAACUUCGGGAAACCGGAGCUAAUACCGGAUAACAUUUGGAACCGCAUGGUUCUAAAGUGAAAGAUGGUUUUGCUAUCACUUAUAGAUGGACCCGCGCCGUAUUAGCUAGUUGGUAAGGUAACGGCUUACCAAGGCGACGAUACGUAGCCGACCUGAGAGGGUGAUCGGCCACACUGGAACUGAGACACGGUCCAGACUCCUACGGGAGGCAGCAGUAGGGAAUCUUCCGCAAUGGGCGAAAGCCUGACGGAGCAACGCCGCGUGAGUGAUGAAGGGUUUCGGCUCGUAAAACUCUGUUAUUAGGGAAGAACAAACGUGUAAGUAACUGUGCACGUCUUGACGGUACCUAAUCAGAAAGCCACGGCUAACUACGUGCCAGCAGCCGCGGUAAUACGUAGGUGGCAAGCGUUAUCCGGAAUUAUUGGGCGUAAAGCGCGCGUAGGCGGUUUCUUAAGUCUGAUGUGAAAGCCCACGGCUCACCCGUGGAGGGUCAUUGGAAACUGGGAAACUUGAGUGCAGAAGAGGAAAGUGGAAUUUCCAUGUGUAGCGGUGAAAUGCGCAGAGAUAUGGAGGAACACCAGUGGCGAAGGCGACUUUCUGGUCUGUAACUGACGCUGAUGUGCGAAAGCGUGGGGAUCAAACAGGAUUAGAUACCCUGGUAGUCCACGCCGUAAACGAUGAGUGCUAAGUGUUAUGGGGUUUCCGCCCCUUAGUGCUGCAGCUAACGCAUUAAGCACUCCGCCUGGGGAGUACGACCGCAAGGUUGAAACUCAAAGGAAUUGACGGGGACCCGCACAAGCGGUGGAGCAUGUGGUUUAAUUCGAAGCAACGCGAAGAACCUUACCAAAUCUUGACAUCCUUUGAAAACUCUAGAGAUAGAGCCUUCCCCUUCGGGGGACAAAGUGACAGGUGGUGCAUGGUUGUCGUCAGCUCGUGUCGUGAGAUGUUGGGUUAAGUCCCGCAACGAGCGCAACCCUUAAGCUUAGUUGCCAUCAUUAAGUUGGGCACUCUAGGUUGACUGCCGGUGACAAACCGGAGGAAGGUGGGGAUGACGUCAAAUCAUCAUGCCCCUUAUGAUUUGGGCUACACACGUGCUACAAUGGACAAUACAAAGGGCAGCUAAACCGCGAGGUCAUGCAAAUCCCAUAAAGUUGUUCUCAGUUCGGAUUGUAGUCUGCAACUCGACUACAUGAAGCUGGAAUCGCUAGUAAUCGUAGAUCAGCAUGCUACGGUGAAUACGUUCCCGGGUCUUGUACACACCGCCCGUCACACCACGAGAGUUUGUAACACCCGAAGCCGGUGGAGUAACC
rnacentral:rRNA from 1 species